AUUGAACGCUGGCGGCAGGCCUCACACAUGCAAGUCGAACGAGUGGCGGACGGGUGAGUAAUGUCUGGGAAACUGCCUGAUGGAGGGGGAUAACUAAUGGAAACGGUAGCUAAUACCGCAUACCAUCGGAUGUUCCCAGAUGGGAUUAGCUAGUAGGUGGGGUAAAGGCUCACCUAGGCGACGAUCCCUAGCUGGUCUGAGAGGAUGACCAGCCAAACUGGAACUGAGACACGGGCAAGACUCCUACGGGAGGCAGCAGUGGGGAAUAUUGCACAAUGGGCGCAAGCCUGAUGCAGCCAUGCCGCGUGUAUGAAGAAGGCCUGCGGGUUGUAAAGUACUUUCAGCGGGGAGGCGUUACCCGCAGAAGAAGCAACGGCUAACUCCGUGCCAGCCGCCGCGGUAAUAC
rnacentral:rRNA from 1 species